rnacentral:rRNA from 1 species
GACGUAGGGUGCGAGCGUUACUCGGAAUCACUGGGCGUAAAGCGUGCGUAGGCGGUUGGUUAAGUCUGCUGUGAACGCCCUGGGCUCAACCUGGGAACUGCAGUGGAUACUGGCCAGCUAGAGUAUGGUAGGGGCAGAGGGAAUUCCUGGUGUAGCGGUGAAAUGCGUAGAGAUCAGGAAGAACAUCGGUGGCGAAGGCGCUCUGCUGGACCAUAACUGACACUCAGGGACGAAAGCUAGGGGAGCGAAUGGG